CCAGGACCUGGGCAAGGAGAGAGGAGGAAGGGGACUGACCGGAACCCCUCCAAAGCAUUUAAUGAUGAGGCAGCCGAGACCCUGCAUCGGGCACCACGAGGAAAGGACUAUGGGAGUCCCAGAGGCACUGGGCUCUGCCUGGACUGGGGAAGUCAGUUGGAGGGGGGGUAGGGGGGACGGGGCAGGGUCUCCCCGGCACCGAGCCCACACCUCUUGGUGCAAAUUUGGGGAGCUGGCGCCCUCUGCUGGCUUCCUGGUGACACUGUCUCUCGCCCUAAUGACCUCGCCCUGCAGAAAGGCCCCUUCCCUUCCUCACCCUCUUCAGCAAAUACUCACUGCUCACCCACUGUGUGUUCUGAGCACUGGGAUGCGGCGCUGAAUAUAAAGGGCACAUAUCUCUGCCCCUGAGGGGCUUAUUUUCCAACACGGGAGGGCAGACGAUGAGCCAAAGACAUAAACAAUUAAGUUAUCCAGUGCCAGGUAAAGAUGGCAAGGUCGCGCCAGAGUAGAAUGAGCUGAAGAGCAUACAAAAGAUUGGGAGUUCUGGGGGUGGUUUGAAGUAUUGAAUAGGAAAGUCAAGGAGGUCUCGGGGAGGCGCAAUCUGAGUCCAGCGUUAAAGUUGGUGAGUGGGAGCUGCGGGCGCACCUGUGGCAGAAGGGACAGCGAAUGCAGGAGCCCUGGGGGGGGGGGGGGCAGGGCAGGCCAUGGGAGGUGACACCAGGGAGGUGGGCAUGCUGACAGACUGGGGGUGGGGAGCAGUGGGAGGCUCUUAGUUAUUGGUAACCCGGAUGAGGAGAGAAGUGUCCGGCAUUGUCCAGGAGGGUGGAGAGAGGCCAGCCCAGGAAACGUGGUGUCACUGUCUAGCAGGUGUUUUUAAGUUUGUUUUUAAAGUUUAUUCAUUUUUGAGAGAGAGAGAGAGAGAGAGUAUGAGCAGAGGAGGGGCAGAGAGAGAAGGAGACCCAGAAUCCGAAGCAGGCUGCAGGCUCCAAGCUGUCAGCACAGAGCCCGACGCGGGGCUCGAACCCACAGACCGUGAGAUCAUGACCUGAGCCGAAGUCGGAUGCUUAACUGACUGAGCCACCCAGGCACCUCUGUCUGUCAGUUUUAAGGGCCUAAUGGAUUUAAAGGGAGUCCAUUCGGUGUGGGAGUGUUUUUCUCCACCUAGGCCCAGCCUCCUGGGCCACACAGGAACAGGAGAGCAAGAUCCAGCCAGAGUGGUGGUUUCGCCAAGCAAAAGCAAUACGGGACUGGGCGCUGAGGGUGCCUGUGCGGGGGGGGGGGGGGGGGGAGCAUGUAACGGUGACCAUGGAACCCAGGCCGGGAAAGGAGGGGCUUGAGCAGCAGUGAAAGAGGCAAGAGGCCACAUCUGUCAGUGGGUCACAGGUCCUAAAGGCAGAGUCAUCUCUGAGCCCCAGCCUCUGUCCUGGAGGAAGUCAGCUGAAGAGGGAGGACAGACAGAGAGCCCAUCGAUUAAGCGGUGAUGUGAUGGGUCCUGUACGGGGUGGCCGGGCCUCCGAGGGAUGGCAGGCAGGGCAGGGGGCCCCCACUGGACAGUUUCUGAGAGGAGCCGCCCAGUGCAGGCGUGGAAGAGGAGGAGCAGGGAGGACUCCCGGGAGAGCUGGAGCAUAAGCUAACGGGCCUUGGAGCAGCCAUGGGGAGCCAAGCAGGGACAGUCUGCAGAAAGAUUCACAAGUGAACCCGCGGGGCUCAAGGCCUGGGUGGCCGGGAGGAGGGUGUGGGUGCUGGUCAGGGGCGAGGACCCUGAAGGAAGCAGGAGGACAAAGAGUGUGGUCCCCCACCGGCCCCCUACCCGGGACCAGGCCCCGCCCCAGCCUGCUGGAUGUGGAUCUGGAUUUCACCGAGAUUCCCAGUGCUUGCGGGGCACGUGGCCACUGGAGAUGCGCCGGCAGCGUGGACCCUAGCAGAUACGAGCACGGCUCAAGGAGCUCGUGCUCUGUCCCCACGGGGAGCAGGGGCCAGGCCAGUGGCCGUGGCGCCGGGCAGCACUGGCGCGGGAGCAUCCUGGCAGAUGCGGGGGAGGUGGGGGGCUCCGGAGGCGCGGGGCGCACACCUGUACACGGCGUAGGUGUGGUACUCGUUCAGGUAGUCGAUGCGGUCCUCCAGCUUGUUGCUGCGGUGGCUCUUGUCGAUGCUGAGGACGAAGAGGUUGAUGUAGGCGUCCAGCGAGAACUGGUACAUGGGGUCGAUGCGGCCCAUGUCGUUGAGCACGAAGAACAGAACCGACGCCCUCUGGGCACACGGGCGCUGCUCGGUCACCUCGGUGGCGGUCAUCUUGGAGGUAUGAAGGGUGUUCACCAGCUGCACGUCGUCGAGCAGGGAGCCCGUGGCCUCAUUCAGCAGCCUGAAGGGAAGCGCAGCUCCGGCCGCUCCUUCCGGACCACGAUGCCCAGCAGCUGAGCCUCCAGGCCCUGGGAGCACGGGGACACGCGGUGGGACUGGCGCUCUGGUGACGGCACACCCCUGGCACCCAGUCACGCCUCCCCCCACCUCGUCCCCUGCCGCCCAGCGCAGGGGGCCUUUGUCUCCACCCUGCCGACUGGACUCUCCGGGUGCUUCCUGCUCCUCGCUAGCUGGGUCCAGGCUGCAGCCCCCGCCCCCACCUGUUCCUUGACAGCAAAGUUGACGAUGGUGGUCUUGGCCGAGGUCUCAGGGCUGUAGUGGGGGUUGGAGAGCUUGGUGGUGAUGUAGAAACGGAAGUUGCUGUUGUACUCCACCUCCUUGUCUGCAAUGCGCAUCAGCAGCCGGCCGCCUGCAGCCGGGCCAGGGUCAAGGGCAAAGGAGCCCUGGUGACCAGCUGUGGGCUGGCCCAGCCCCCAGCCCACAUCCAGCGGCCCUAAUGCCCAGCCCGGGGCUGUGUGAGCGGAGGGCCACAGUCUGAGGGCCGGCCCUCCCCCCCAACCCCUCACCUCGUGGCCCAGCUGGCUGGUCUCUAGGAUUUGUCCCCCAGCCCAACCCCAUAGGAAGCCUGGACCCUCACCGAUUCGAGCUACAGAUUUGUUGAGCACAGGGUUAAGUGUGGGGUCCAGAUACUCCUGAACGUUCUGGAGCAGCACUGGGUAUCCAAACUGGAUGGCCUUUUCUAGAAUUUGAAGGGCCUGGGCCUGAGGGUCAAUCAUCAGUGCCCACCUGAAGGAGGGUGGUCAGUCAGAAGACAGGCUCCGCCCUUCCCCGCCCCCGCUCCCGGCAGCCUCCUUACCUGUUGCCUCGGGUGACGAUGAUGCCAUUCUCUGUGGAAAAGGCAUCCGAGGGCAACCCUUGGAUGUUCCAGUCUCGAACUUUGGUAGGAUUGGACAGGAAGUUAUCGAAGGUGAAGCGCGGUGAGCACGGCACCUCCAGCUCCCAGAUCUGGGCGGGGAAGAGCCCCGGACGUCAGCCUGGAGACCCGAGCCCCGCUCCCCGCCCCGGGGCCCCUGCCCCCCCCCCCCCAUCCCCGGCCCCUGCCGGGUGUCUCUCCGUCCUCCCCGCAGCCCUGGUCUUAGAGCCCAAGAGCUCACGAGGACCUGAGCCCUGCCUCACCUUCCUGAUCCAUAUCUGGGUGACGAUCUCAUCCCGGUAGUUGGUCAGGAAGGGGCCCAUGUAGGACAGGAAGGCGGCAGCCAGGAGACAGUCACCUACCAGGUAGCCCAGAUCCUCCUCCAGGCCCUGGGUGGGGGGCGGGGGGCGGGCAGGGGAUGUAAGGAGGGCCCCAGGCACUGGGGAGCGCUGGCUCUCCCCCCCCCCCCCCCCACAACCGACACUGGCUCCAUCAAAGAGGCGCUUUGUCCUAAACCUUCGGCCCUGAGGAGUCCAACCUGGUUCUAAUCCCUUCGGAGUCGCCGUCUUUCACAGUGAUCCUGUUUACAUUCUGCGCGCCUUCUCGCUGGCCAGCCCUGACACCAGCAAGCCCGCUCGCUCCAGCUUCGUUUCCAUGUCCUCGGACUUCUUGCGGAGCUCCUCCUUCUGGGCCAGCUUCUCGUCGUACUGCUUCUUCAGCAUCUCUAGCUUCUCGGCCACCUGGGAGGGACCAGAGCGAACGGCUCAAACGCCACUCUUGUGGCCGCGCUGCUCGGGAUUCCGGUGGCCCAUCUGCCGUUCCAAGGCCUUGGAGCCUCCGUGGCCCGGUGUGCCAUGUGACGAUGCUAACCCCUACCCCGUAGGGCUGUCGCAGACAGAAAACAAGACAAAAUAUGUGUGGUGACGUGAAGUCUUCUUUCCCUUCCCCUCCACCACUCUUUUCUUGGGCCGGGAAACUUCUUGUCAUGAAACUCAAGGCCGGGUAGGAAGACAGUCCCCUUGGAGCAUAAUAAGCCACAUGAGUCCCACUGGCAAGAGAGGAUCAGAGGGCACAGAAACGACUGCCACCCCCACGCCAGUGUGGCAUGGCCCGAAGGCAGGACCUCGAGAGAGAAAGAAAAAUCUAGAAACUGUUGGAGAGAGGAAGAGGGACUCCAUUCGGGGCAAAGGCCCAGGUGCAGGGACCCACACAGGGAUGGGGAUCCAACUGUGCAGAGUUCACGUGCUGGCCUGGUGCCCCUGACCGGGCCUCAUCUGGGCUGUGGGAAGGAGGGCACAGGGCGCAGGACAUGGGCCCAACCACUGAGGUUGACCUCCAAAAGACCCUGGAAACGCAAUAGAUUAACUCCCCAAGAAACUGUCUUUAAAGCAAGAGCACCCAGGGCAGCUGCGUGGCUCAGUCGGUUAAGCAUCCGGGUUCAGCUCAGGUCAUGAUCUCGCGGUUCAGGGGUUCGAGCCCCAUGUCACGCUCUGUGCUGAUGGCUCAGAGCCUGGAACCUGCUUCGGAUUCUGUGUCUCCCUUGCUCUCUGCCCCUCCCCUGCUCAUGCUCUCUUUCUUAACAAUAAAUAAACGUUAAAAAAAAAAAAAAAGGCAAAGUGGAGGUCCCAAAUGUCACCUUCGGGUGACAGCACGCCUUCCAGGUCAAGCCUGGGUAGUGAUGUUAGAAGGUAUUAACAUCCAGGGAAAGAAGGGGUCACUCUGAAGGGGUGAGUCAGCCGGGCCACUCAGGGACGAAACACCAGCUGGGGGUCUAGAAAGAGAGGGGCGCCCUUGCACUGGCACAGGUGGGCUUAAACCCGCUGGAGGCCAUGCUGUCCGGCGGUCUUCCCUGCGUGCCACCUGUCGCCAGGUUCACGUGACUGCCUCCCCACCACCCGCGCAGUCCAGGCUCGUCAGCAACACUGAUUAUAAUUGGGCUUCCCGCGGAGCUGUGUCUGUGGGGAAGCAGCCAGCCCACGAUCGUUCUGGAUUUCAUUACUUAUUUUGCAUGUGGUGUUGUCUUCACCGUUUCUAUUUUUUAUACAAGAAAUGUAUGCAUAAGGUUAAAGACCUAAAUAAUACGAUAAAAAGGAGUUAUAACAAAACCUCUUCCACUCCUGGUCCCGUUCUUCAGUAGCAAAUUAUUUUGAACCAAUUUCUCUUUUUAUUUCUUCUGGCAGCUGCCUCCCUAUCUCUGAAUAUUAUGCUUAGGCUACUAUUUUUAAAAUACAUACAUGCAUAUUUAUACAUACAUUAAUCUCGUUGUGGUUUUUAUCUUUUUAACUCAAAAAUUAUGGAAAGUUGCAAACCUAGGACAAAGAAUCACAUAAUGACUACCUCUACACCCGCCACAUAUAUUCAACAGUUGUUAACAUUCCGCCAGUCUUAUUCCAUCUACUGUUCUUUGCCAAAGU